CGUGCACCCGUCCGGGCAGGUCCAUGCCCUUGUAGGGGGUGUUGCGGCUGCGGGUGGCGAAGCUGUCGGGGUUCACGGCACCACGGUACGCGG
rnacentral:tRNA from 1 species